rnacentral:rRNA from 1 species
UACAUGGGGUGCAAACGUUGCUCGGAAUUAUUGGGCGUAAAGCGCGCGUAGGCGGUUACUCAAGUCGGAUGUGAAAGCCCUCGGCUUAACUGAGGAAGUGCACCCGAAACUGAGUAGCUAGAGUACCAAAGAGGGUCGCGGAAUUCCCGGUGUAGAGGUGAAAUUCGUAGAUAUCAGGAGGAAUACCGAUGGCGAAGGCAGGUCUCUGGGCUGACACUGACGCUCAUGCACGAAAGCGUGGGGAGCAAACAGG